ACGGGAGGCAGCAGUGGGGAAUAUUGGGCAAUGGGCGCAAGCCUGACCCAGCAAUGCCGCGUGAAGGAAGAAGGCUUUCGGGUUGUAAACUUCUUUUAAGUGGGACGACAAUGACGGUACCACUUGAAUAAGCUCCGGCUAACUACGUGCCAGCAGCCGCGGUAAUACGGAGGAUGCGAGCGUUAUCCGGAUUUAUUGGGUUUAAAGGGUGCGCAGGCGGCACGUUAAGUCAGCGGUGAAAUGUCGGGGCUCAACCCGGGCACUGCCGUUGAAACUGGCGAGCUUGAGUACGGAUGAAGUCGGCGGAAUGUGAUGUGUAGCGGUGAAAUGCUUAGAUAUAUCACAGAACACCGAUUGCGAAGGCAGCUGACUAAUCCGCAACUGACGCUCAGGCACGAAAGCGUGGGGAUCGAACAGGAUUAGAUACCCUGGUA
rnacentral:rRNA from 1 species